UACGGGGGGGGGGCAAGCGUUGUUCGGAAUUAUUGGGCGUAAAGGGCUCGUAGGCGGUUCGUCACGUCGGGAGUGAAAACUCGGAGCUCAACUCCGAGCCUGCUUCCGAUACGGGCAGACUAGAGGUAGGGCAGGGGAGAGCGGAACUCCUGGUGUAGCGGUGGAAUGCGCAGAUAUCAGGAAGAACACCCGUGGCGAAGGCGGCUCUCUGGGACGGUACUGACGCCUGAGACGCGAAAGCGUGGGGAGCGAACAGG
rnacentral:rRNA from 1 species